AGUGAACGCUGGCGGUAGGCCUAACACAUGCAAGUCGAACGGAAGCACAGUAAGAGCUCGUCCCUACGGUUAGCGAGUGGCGGACGGGUGAGGAAUAGAUAGGCAUCCUAUUUUUCGGGGAUGAUAACGUGAGGAAGCUGACGCUAACACAGCAUACUUCGUACGGGUGAAUGCAGGAGUUCAACAGACCUUUCGCGAUUCUAUGAGACGUUGCCGGAUUAGCUAGUUGGCGGGGUAAAGGCCCACCAAGGCGACGAUCCGUAGCUGGUCUGAGAGGAUGAUCGGCCACACUGGAACUGAGACACGGUCCAGACUCCUACGGGAGGCAGCAGUGGGGAAUAUUCGACAAUGGGCGCAAGCCUGAUCCAGCCACGCCGCGUGGGUGAAGAAGGCCUUCGGGUUGUAAAACUCUUUUGUUGGGAAAGAAAACCAGUAGGUUAACUCCCGGCUGUCUUGACGGUACCCAAAGAGUAAGCUCCGGCUAACUUCGUG
rnacentral:rRNA from 1 species